rnacentral:lncRNA from 1 species
GAAACUACUGAAUGGAUUUGGUUAAAACUUAGCAUGAUUGUUCCUUAGAUUAUCCUGCACAAAGUGUGUGCUUUGAUUUUUGAUCCGUCAAAAAACAUGGCCGUCGUUACUUAAAAUAGAACAUAGGGGUCAAAUGCAGUUUUUGGCUUAUAUCUCAAAAACGAAAGCAUUUAGAGCAAAUCUGACAUGGAGUAAAAAUGUUCAUUAGGUCAAGAUCUAUCAGCCCUGAAAUUUUCAGAUGAAUCAAACAAACCAUUGUUGGGUUGCUGCCACUUAAUUGGUAAUUUUAAGGAAAUUUUGCAGUUUUUGGUCAUUAUCUUGAAUAUUAUUAUAGAUAAAGAUAAACUGUAAACAGCAAAUAUGAUCAGCAAAGUAAGAUCUACAAAUAAGUCAAUUUGACCA